UCCAGACUCCUACGGGAGGCAGCAGUGGGGAAUAUUGGGCAAUGGACGCAAGUCUGACCCAGCAACGCCGCGUGAAGGAAGAAGGCUUUCGGGUUGUAAACUUCUUUUAAGGGGGAAGAGCAGAAGACGGUACCCCUUGAAUAAGCCACGGCUAACUACGUGCCAGCAGCCGCGGUAAUACGUAGGGGGCGAGCGUUAUCCGGAUUCACUGGGUGUAAAGGGAGCGUAGACGGCCAAGCAAGCCAGGGGUGAAAGCCCGGGGCCCAACCCCGGGACUGCCCUUGGAACUGCUUGGCUGGAGUGCGGGAGGGGCAGGCGGAAUUCCUGGUGUAGCGGUGAAAUGCGUAGAUAUCAGGAGGAACACCGGUGGCGAAGGCGGCCUGCUGGACUGCGACUGACGUUGAGGCCCGAAAGCGUGGGGAGCAAACAGGAUUAGAUACCCCUGUACG
rnacentral:rRNA from 1 species